UUGAACGCUGGCGGCAGGCCUAACACAUGCAAGUCGAGCGGUAACACAGAGAGCUUGCUCUCGGGUGACGAGCGGCGGACGGGUGAGUAAUGUCUGGGAAACUGCCUGAUGGAGGGGGAUAACUACUGGAAACGGUAGCUAAUACCGCAUAACGUCGCAAGACCAAAGUGGGGGACCUUCGGGCCUCAUGCCAUCAGAUGUGCCCAGAUGGGAUUAGCUAGUAGGUGGGGUAACGGCUCACCUAGGCGACGAUCCCUAGCUGGUCUGAGAGGAUGACCAGCCACACUGGAACUGAGACACGGUCCAGACUCCUACGGGAGGCAGCAGUGGGGAAUAUUGCACAAUGGGCGCAAGCCUGAUGCAGCCAUGCCGCGUGUGUGAAGAAGGCCUUCGGGUUGUAAAGCACUUUCAGCGGGGAGGAAGGCGGUGAGGUUAAUAACCUCAUCGAUUGACGUUACCCGCAGAAGAAGCACCGGCUAACUCCGUGCCAGCAGCCGCGGUAAUACGGAGGGUGCAAGCGUUAAUCGGAAUUACUGGGCGUAAAGCGCACGCAGGCGGUCUGUCAAGUCGGAUGUGAAAUCCCCGGGCUCAACCUGGGAACUGCAUUCGAAACUGGCAGGCUAGAGUCUUGUAGAGGGGGGUAGAAUUCCAGGUGUAGCGGUGAAAUGCGUAGAGAUCUGGAGGAAUACCGGUGGCGAAGGCGGCCCCCUGGACAAAGACUGACGCUCAGGUGCGAAAGCGUGGGGAGCAAACAGGAUUAGAUACCCUGGUAGUCCACGCCGUAAACGAUGUCGAUUUGGAGGUUGUGCCCUUGAGGCGUGGCUUCCGGAGCUAACGCGUUAAAUCGACCGACUGGGGAGUACGGCCGCAAGGUUAAAACUCAAAUGAAUUGACGGGGGCCCGCACAAGCGGUGGAGCAUGUGGUUUAAUUCGAUGCAACGCGAAGAACCUUACCUGGUCUUGACAUCCACAGAACUUUCCAGAGAUGGAUUGGUGCCUUCGGGAACUGUGAGACAGGUGCUGCAUGGCUGUCGUCAGCUCGUGUUGUGAAAUGUUGGGUUAAGUCCCGCAACGAGCGCAACCCUUAUCCUUUGUUGCCAGCGGUUAGGCCGGGAACUCAAAGGAGACUGCCAGUGAUAAACUGGAGGAAGGUGGGGAUGACGUCAAGUCAUCAUGGCCCUUACGACCAGGGCUACACACGUGCUACAAUGGCAUAUACAAAGAGAAGCGACCUCGCGAGAGCAAGCGGACCUCAUAAAGUAUGUCGUAGUCCGGAUUGGAGUCUGCAACUCGACUCCAUGAAGUCGGAAUCGCUAGUAAUCGUAGAUCAGAAUGCUACGGUGAAUACGUUCCCGGGCCUUGUACACACCGCCCGUCACACCAUGGGAGUGGGUUGCAAAAGAAGUAGGUAGCUUAACCUUCGGGAGGGCGCUUACCACUUUGUGAUUCAUGACUGGGGUG
rnacentral:rRNA from 1 species